rnacentral:lncRNA from 1 species
GAAAUAUUUCCAUUCCCAAGCAACAACCCCCCUUUCACAACCCCUGACUCCGACUCCUCCUGAUAUUCUAAUCUCGACGGCUCCUGAUUCUUUAGUUUCGUCCGUCGAUUUCAUCUGUGUCGAUAACACGGCUACGGCGCUGCUCUCUCUUCCAUCUAUUCCCCCCUCUUAUCUCGUCUUUCUUCCUUGCCGAUUUAGAGAUUACAACUUCCCGCACGAAGGGGGUGGACAUCGUUCCUGUCUAGAUUUUGGGUCGCUGUUUGCAGGUGAUCUUCAAUAUGUCUUCCGAUGGCGAUCAUAGUUAAUAAAACAAUAAAAAUAAAGAUGCAGGUUUUGAAUUCUUGAUCAUAGGUCAUUCAAAUGAUCAAUGUUUUCAUAUUCUUCGUAACUAAUUGUUUGGGUUUCCAUCGAUAUAUAGAUUUGUUUACUCGUUGGGUGCCUACACCUAUGAUCUUUAUCAGAAUAGUUUUCUUUUCCUGUCUUCUUAUGUUAAUUUCAUAGCUUGCUGACUUUGUUGGCAGUCUUUGUUGCAGCCAUGAAAGAAACUCAAAAGGAUACCGCAGAUUGUAUUCAUCCACCACGACAGGAAGAGAUGGAAAAUGUCCCCCCAAUUUCCAAUGAAUCCAUAAUGGGGAUAAUUUCCAACGAAUCCAUAAUGGGGAUGGUGUUUGAAUCAUGGGAAG